UCUUAUGAUUUUGACAUUAAUCAAACCUCAGGCCAAAACAUUUCCAGUCUGCUUGUAUUUUCGGUAAUAUCGGUCUGCUAAUUUAUUUGUUUUCGGUUCAAGGAAGGCAAAGUAAUGGUAAAACGCAAACUUGAGAUAGAUGGUGGUGAUAGCAAACCACAAAGGAAGCAAUCGACUCCAUGGACUCAAGACGAGACCGAAACUUUGUGCGACUUAAUUUUAAAGCAUGGAACUGGUGCAAUUUUAAAUAAAAGGACAAAUGCGGGUACUAAGGAACAAAGAGAACACGAGUGGAAAACUAUUGAAGCGGACUUUCAGGCUAUAACAAGCAACAAACGUAACAUGCAAACAUUGAAAGCCCGAUUCAAGCGAGUUAUGUAUGAGUUGCGCAUGUAUUCGGCAUGAACUCGGCGAAACAACCCGGAUAGAAUUUUACAAUAGCAUUUACCCUACAAACAAUCAUAAAAUAAUAAAUAUUAUAGUUAUUACUGUUUCAACAUUGUUCGAUGCCAAGUUCUCACAGUAGAUUUACAAUAAAAUUUCAUGUAACAAUAAAUUUCACUGUUCAGCAAAAAACUGAUACAGUGCAUUCACAUUAAAUUUUACUGUUUUCGAGAAAAAAAUGUAUGUAGAAAAACUGAUUUUUUUAAUGUUAAGAUACAUA